GGACCCGCACAAGUAGCGGAGCAUGUGGUUUAAUUCGAAGCAACGCGAAGAACCUUACCUAAGCUUGACAUCCUUUUGACCUCUCCUUAAUCGGAGAUUUCCCUUCGGGGACAAAAGUGACAGGUGGUGCAUGGUUGUCGUCAGCUCGUGUCGUGAGAUGUUGGGUUAAGUCCCGCAACGAGCGCAACCCUUGUCUUUAGUUGCCAGCAUUAAGUUGGGCACUCUAGAGAGACUGCCAGGGAUAACCUGGAGGAAGGUGGGGAUGACGUCAAAUCAUCAUGCCCCUUAUGCUUAGGGCUACACACGUGCUACAAUGGGUGGUACAGAGGGCAGCCAAGUCGUGAGGCGGAGCUAAUCCCUUAAAGCCAUUCUCAGUUCGGAUUGUAGGCUGAAACUCGCCUACAUGAAGCUGGAGUUACUAGUAAUCGCAGAUCAGAAUGCUGCGGUGAAUGCG
rnacentral:rRNA from 2 species